AGGAAAUUUAUACGAUAAUUAUCUCGAAAGUGCCGGCCCCGCUGCAAAACAAAUCCGCGAUGCACGUUUAAUGCGAAACGUAAGAGCGGCGAGAUGUUUGCGACGAUUUUGAAAUCCUUGAUAAUUUUAAAGUUGUUUUGAAAAGUGCGCGGAGAGCUCGCCGUAGCGCUUCUCUGCGCAGGAAAAGGCUGCUGCCAAGAGUCUUGAUCUCAUUAACAGCUUUAAACAAAACGGGUGACAGGGGAAAAUGUAUUUAUGAAAUGGCUAUUUUACACCACAAGAAAGUUUGGAAUACUCAGAAUAAGGUAUGAGCAGGGCCUGAUCUUCGCACGUGGAAAACGGGACUCGUGAUCCGGUUUUCAAAUCCUCUUAAAGUAUUUAAAGUUGGGAUAAUGACAACUGGAAUAAUGCUGUUUUAUCAUCUAUUUCCUUGUUGCUGAAGAGUUGAAGAGAAUCUGUUUUGAGUCCAGGUUCGAUGGUCUAAUCUCUAAUGCUUCAAGCUAUCAAAAGGAAGUGAAAUUAAACAUCUUUUGAUGUUAAAGUGCGCAAGUUUGAUACCUGUGUAAGCUAAUGAUUAUCUUCUCAAUUCGACUUAUUGUGUAACAGAAAUUAGAUGUGUGAUGAAGACGGUAAUGAGGCUGGACAUGGCGAUGAUGCUGUUUACUAUACGAAGGCAAGCACUGUAAGAAGGAUGACCAAAUUAGUGUGAUAGGUUAAAAAAUAGUGUAUCAGUUUUAUUCAUUAACAGAAAAACAGAGUAUACAAAGGUUGUUAUAUCGUUUUCGAUCACGGAGCUUUUCUGUAGCGUAAUAGUUGUAUUCUUAAUAACUAUUGUGUUUCUUAAAUCUUCUUUAAAUCUUAUGAAAUCUUGUAAAGUUAAAAAAAUCUGCCUUCUAUUAUAUACAGAGUUGCACUGUUCACGGAAAUAGAACGCUCCUAUGAAAGCUUUUCGUAAGCUGAAACAGCGUCAAGUGAAUAAGCAUUUAUCAUUUAAUAAUAUGCGGUAAGGUUCGAGUAGAAAAUUCAUCUGUGCAAAUUAUAAAAGCGUGUUUGUUCACCUGCAAGUUCGAAAGUUUUAACGACCGAUGAAAUGAAAUGUGGCAUUACUACUUCAAUACUUAAAAAGAAAAAAAAGAAGUGUGCUUUAAAUCAUCAAAGUGAUUUAAUGCUUAAGAAAUUCAGCAUUACAGUUCGUUCAAGGUCGUUGAUCUGUGUUUAAUGCGAUUCAAGUAUGUGCGCUAGAAAAUUAUUAUAUACACUUCCGCUUUUCCUAAAUAGCAUUUCGCCUUUGAAAAACUGAAAAUUAUUAUCUUCAUGUGAAAUUUCUCAGGUUCAUUUUCCAAUGAGACAAAAUUAUAAAAUAUGGCUGCGUAAUGUUUCUGCAAUUUGAUUGCGCUGUUUUGCAAAAAUAUGAAAUUAUUGUUCAUGAGAUGAAAGCAUAACAUGUCAAUAUCUUAAAUCUUUUGAAUGCAUUAAUUUUACGAGUAUUUUUAAUGUUAUUUCGUGAAGCUUUUUCAAUUCUUUUUCAUAUACUAGUUGCACUUAAUACUUUUCUUGAUCAUGAAAUAGAUAACUUAGUCGUUCAUCAAUGUAAUUAAAAAUGUUUUAUGGAAUAGUAAAUAGCUACUAUAAUUAUUAUUAUUUUAAGAUUUGAAUAUAUAGUGAUGUUUCUUCUAUUCGAUUAAAUGUAUAGCAUUAUUAAAAAAUUAAAAAUUAUAUGACAUUAAAGAUCGAAUUUUGCAGAUUUGGUUUAACAAAUUAAAGAAUUAUAAGAUUUUGUUUAUGGAAGGUUAUUAACUUGAUCGAUCUGUUUUUGUAUUGUUGUUUAAAUAUCUUUAAAUUAGUAAUUUUACUGGACUACGUCAUUUCUUGAUCAAUCCAUCUCGUAUGACUUGGAUAACGCUAAUGACGUAGCUAAUUCCGAAUUUGAACUCAAAAUUUCAAGAACUGAAACCUUUCUCUUAACAAACAACCUAAUCCGAAACCUUCUCUUCGUGAGCCUACAUAUUGCAUAAUUGCGCGCUUUCGCUUCUAUCUCUGUUGCCGCUAGGACGAUGUCGCCCUGCCUUCUUCCUAAAAUGUUUUCAAAAACGCAAAUAUUCUGGGAACAGACCUGGAGAGC
rnacentral:lncRNA from 1 species